ACACACACUACACACUCACUGCAUUCACUAUACACACUACACAAAUACACCCUGCUCCCCUGUCUAAACACACUGCAUCCACUACACAUGGCAAGUAUAUUUUGUGCAUUUACCUUUAAAAAUAGUUUAUUUUUUCAAAAUGAUAAAUGUACAGAAUAUCGGCAAAUUAUUGGCCGGAAAGUUCACAGAUUACCGGUACCGGUCGAUCCCUAGUUUUUAUAUUGUGUUCAGUAACAUUUUACAAUGAAAAACAAACAUGUCUGUUAAAGAGUGAAAGGCAAUUCACUGAAGAUGAGGCAAAAUUGAAGAGAAGUGUCCAGUGGAGAAGAAAGGCCACCAGCUUUGUCAUCUGUUUACCUAGCUGGCUCGUGUACACAGUCAUUUUGAAUCUGAAUGGGAAGAUGUCCAUUUAACCAAAUUCAAGAG